rnacentral:rRNA from 1 species
GACGAACGCUGGCGGCGUGCCUAAUACAUGCAAGUCGAACGCUUCUUUCCUCCCGAGUGCUUGCACUCAAUUGGAAAGAGGAGUGGCGGACGGGUGAGUAACACGUGGGUAACCUACCCAUCAGAGGGGGAUAACACUUGGAAACAGGUGCUAAUACCGCAUAACAGUUUAUGCCGCAUGGCAUAAGAGUGAAAGGCGCUUUCGGGUGUCGCUGAUGGAUGGACCCGCGGUGCAUUAGCUAGUUGGUGAGGUAACGGCUCACCAAGGCCACGAUGCAUAGCCGACCUGAGAGGGUGAUCGGCCACACUGGGACUGAGACACGGCCCAGACUCCUACGGGAGGCAGCAGUAGGGAAUCUUCGGCAAUGGACGAAAGUCUGACCGAGCAACGCCGCGUGAGUGAAGAAGGUUUUCGGAUCGUAAAACUCUGUUGUUAGAGAAGAACAAGGACGUUAGUAACUGAGCGUCCCCUGACGGUAUCUAACCAGAAAGCCACGGCUAACUACGUG